rnacentral:tRNA from 2 species
CGGAUGUAUCCAAGUGGAUCAAGGCAGU